rnacentral:rRNA from 1 species
AUUGAACGCUGGCGGCAGGCCUAACACAUGCAAGUCGAGCGGAUGAAGGGAGCUUGCUCCUGGAUUCAGCGGCGGACGGGUGAGUAAUGCCUAGGAAUCUGCCUGGUGGUGGGGGAUAACGUCCGGAAACGGGCGCUAAUACCGCAUACGUCCUGAGGGAGAAAGUGGGGGAUCUUCGGACCUCACGCUAUCAGAUGAGCCUAGGUCGGAUUAGCUAGUUGGUGGGGUAAAGGCCUACCAAGGCGACGAUCCGUAACUGGUCUGAGAGGAUGAUCAGUCACACUGGAACUGAGACACGGUCCAGACUCCUACGGGAGGCAGCAGUGGGGAAUAUUGGACAAUGGGCGAAAGCCUGAUCCAGCCAUGCCGCGUGUGUGAAGAAGGUCUUCGGAUUGUAAAGCACUUUAAGUUGGGAGGAAGGGCAGUAAGUUAAUACCUUGCUGUUUUGACGGUACCAACAGAAUAAGCACCGGCUAACUUCGUG